GGGUGGAGAGGGCGUGGGUGCCUGGAGAUGCCUGGGAACAGAACGGCUGAGGGGACUCCAUUAUCUGUACUCUUCCCGGGGUGGGUCUAGGUCUGGCUCCUCCUGAGGUCGGUUGUCCACCUCAGGGGCAGGAGGCCAGGGGUUUUCUGGGGGCUGGGGUCCUGCCGGCCAAGGGUCGUCAGGCCGGGGACACCCUGUCCAAACCCAGCCCAUCAUCCUGAGCCACCAUCUCCCCUGAGCCUCCCCAACACCCUUCUAAUUGGCCCCCUUGCUCCCACUGUUUAUCCCUCCCCCUCACACAAAGCCUGUCCUCCACCAGCAAAAGAGGUCUUAAAAUAUACAUCACGCGGGCCUGGUGUGGUGGCUCGCGCCUGUAAUCCCAGCACUUUGGGAGGCCGAAGCGGGCGGAUCACCUGAGGUCGGGAGUUCAAGACCAGCCUGACCAACAUGGAGAAACCCCGUCUCUACUAAAAAUACAAAAAUAUUAGCCGGACAUGGUGGCACAUGCCUGUAAUCCCAGCUACUCAAGAGGCUGAGGCAGGAGAAUCGCUUGAACCCAGGAGGCAGAGGUUGUGCAGCUUCCUCUUUGGAAAUGGCUUCACUCAGGUCCUG
rnacentral:lncRNA from 10 species